GCGCGCCGGGAAGUACAUCUGGGACUCCCUCAUAUCUACUGCACAGUCACGACACAACAGGUGGAAACCACCUUUGUUGAAAUGGUCAAAAACGUCAAAAGUCAAAAACGUGGACAAAACACAGACGAGUAUGAUACAUAGAGACCGCUGGGAAAAGCCAAUGCAAACGCCCUCCUCAACAUUGACAGCUACGGCCCGACACAGACUGCACACCAGCCUCAAGUCCAAGUGGCAGCUUAUUGCUUUUUUAAAAUAAAUACAUUGAUCGAACAUUACACAUCGAGUAUAUUCUUUCGCAUAACUAGGCUAAGACUAAAAUAAUAACAAUAAUAACAAUAAUAACAAUAUAAUAAUAAUAGGCUAAUAAUAAUGGCCUCAUAAAUGCUAUAGGAUAAAGCCU